GUGAUAGGAGUCGCCUCCGGAAGCUAGUUUGCAAUUGUUUGUGUUUAAAAGAUAACGGGUGGGUUGGGGAUUUAGCUCAGCGGUAGAGCGCUUGCCUAGCAAGCUCAAGGCCCUGGGUUCGGUCCCCAGCUCCGAAAAAACAAAAAACAAAAAUAACGGGAAAUUCUAGGCAGCAUCGCCGGGUUCUAGGUACGCGCAGGCUCAGCCCUGUGUCAACUCGCGACAUUAAUGGCCAAAGGCUGCAAAGGAGCGAUUUGUUUGUUUUUUGUUUUUUUGUUUUUUUGCAGCCACUGAAAACCGGUCCAGUGACAAUGUGAGCUCUUGUGCCCCGCUAGCCAUCGGGCCUACCAUCUUCCAUUUCACAGCAAAUAAUUGUUAAAUUGUGUGUUGAACCCCCCAAGCGUCCUGGAACCAAGCAAUAAGAACUGGCUGCUAUAUACAUUGUAUGGUUGAGGAAAAAACACUGCAAACAAGCACUGCUUACCCAAGUUCUCACAACAUCUGGGUAACACAAGAAACACAGCUUUUAAAAGUUAUAACUUUUGCUUGUUGUUUUUUUUUUUUUUCCUUUUUCUUUUUUUCGGAGCUGGGGACCGAACCCAGGGCCUUACGCUUGCUAGGCAAGCGCUCUACCACUGAGCUAAAUCCCCAACCCCAAAAGUUAUAACUUUUAAGAGAAGUAGAAAUGUUAAUUACGGGAAAUGUAUUUGUUAAUGCUUAUUAAUGUUAAUUCUACCAAUAUACAUUUAAACAAGGAAGCUAGGCUUUCAUCAGUCCUCCUAGUUGUUUUGCAUUAACGCCUGCAUUGAACCUCUACUUAAUAGACUAGAUUUAACCAGGAGUACUAAAAACAAAUACUGUAUUUCUUUUUUUUUUUUUUUAAGAUUUAUUUUAUUUAUGUAAGUACACUGUAGCUGUCUUCAGACACACCAGAAGAGGGCAUCAGAUCCCAUUACAGAUGGUUGUGUACCACUAUGUGAUUGCUGGGAAUUGAACUCAGGACCUGUGGAAGAGCAGUCAGUGCUCUUAACUGCUGAGCCAUCUCUCCGAGAGCCCAAUACUGUAUUUCAUAUAGUUUAUUUUAGCGUUAGAUUUUCCAGUCACCUUAAAGUCAAAUUGAUGAGUAGUGUACAGAAGUGUAUUUUAAGCUACCCUUAAUUCUUUUUUUUCCUAAAAACAAUAUCCUUUUAUUGAGUAUUAGCUUUAAAAGAAGGGGAAAAGGCUGAACUGUCUGGGACAGAGGUAGGGUAGGAAACAAAGUGGCAUGUAUAUCUGUUAGAAUUAGGAAAUGAAUAAAACUCAGGAACUAGGAAAGAGGGCAAAUCAGAAAAUAAAGAAAUCCUGAUAUAGAUUAGAAGACCAACUAUUUUUAACUGCAAAAUUAAGUUUCCUGAUAACUGUUUAAACCAAAGGAUGUUCCUGCUUUCUCAUUUCAAGACAGGAAAGGCACAAGUAGGUUGGAUACAGUUUUUCUGCACUGUCAGAACUGCUAGGACAAUAGAUGUGUGCUAACAAUUGAUUUUCUCAAUAGCUAUAUAGAUCCACACCCAAUCACUGGUUCUGACCUUCAAAGGAUGCAGAAUCCAGCCAUUCGUCUGAGUCGCCACCUCUGCCCCAUUCAGGUUUCUAUGUUUCUUGAAUAAAUUAUUUCCAUCAGCACAAACAAGUCCUGCUUCAACUCUACUGUUGAAAGAGAAAUCUCUGUAAGUCCACUUAUCUAGAGGUUGAACAGAAUAAAAAAUUAAAUUGCUAAUAAGCAAAUACAUAAACCUCUCAGGGGUUGACACCGUAAUAGCACAGGUCCUUUGCAUGGGCUAAGCAAUACUUUGAAACAAAACAAGCGAACUAAUAAAUCUUUUUGGUUUAGGAAGCAAGUAACCAAAAGUAGACAGACACCUAUUACCCUCCAGGAAGUAGGAAGUGCAUCCUAUCUUAGGGUUUUAUUUCUGUGAAGAGACAGCAAGACCAAGGCAACUCUUAGAAAGGAAAACAUUUAAUUGGGCCUGGCUUACCGUUUCAGAGGUUCAGUCCAUUAUCAUCAUGGUGGAAAGGAGGGCAGCAUGCAGGCAGACAGUGCUGGAGGAGCUGAGAAUUGUAUAUCUUGGUCUGAAAACAGCCAGAAAGAGACUUCCACAUGCAGCCAGGAGGAGGUACUCACUCCACACUGGGUGGAGCCUGGGCAUAGAAAACCUCAAAACCCACCCCCACAGUGACAGGCUUCCUCCAACAAGGCCAUACCUACUCCAACAAGGCCUCACCUCCUAAGAGUGCCACUCCCUGUGGGCUAAGCCUUUAAACACAGAAGUUUAUGGGGGCCAAGCCUGUUCAAACCACCACAUGUUUUCAACCUCUGACCUGGAGCAGCCUGAGGAAACCCAUACGGGCAGUUACCUUGGAGCAUACAAAGGUGAGACAAGACAAGCAAUAGAACAGACAAAAGGGAAGUUGUGGCUUGAAUAAGAAUGGCCCCCAAAGGCUCAUGGAUUUAAAUGCUUAGUUAUCAGGGAGUGGCACUAUUUGAGAAGAAUUAGGAGGUGUGGCCUUGUUAGAGUAGAUGUGACCUAGCUGGAAGUAUAUCACUGAUGAUUGUUUUGAGGUUUUAAAAGCCCAUGCCAGGCCCAGUUCUCUCUCUUCUUGAGGCCUGCAAAUCGGAAUGUAGCUCUCAGCUACUGCUCUUGUGCCAUGAUGACAAUGGACUGGACCUCUGAAACUGUAAGCCAGCCUGCAGUUAAAUGCUUUCCUGUUUAAGAGGUCUUGGUGGGUGGAUUGCCUUAGUCUGUUGUGAUAAAUAUUUAAUAUUAAUUGGGGGUUUCGGUCCAGCCAUGGAUCAUUAUUCCCAUAAUUAUGACAGCCUUUAUAGUGCUGUAUUGGGUGGAUAUCUAGCCCCUAAGCAAUCAGUCUCUAUUUCCCUAUCAAUACUGAGUUAUAACUUGCUGUGUUCCAUCUGGGCUGCUUUUACUCCAGGCCCUGUGGCCAUAUGUUCAUGAUUCAUCUACCCCAUGGUGUUUUUCUCUCUCUUCUUACAUGGUCCUGCCUCAGAUCCCAAGCUCAGGAACCGAAACUCGUUCUACCUCUCUUCUGCCCAGCUAUAGGCUGUAGGUAUCUUUAUUCAACCAAUAGUUUUAAAUUAAGGAGCAAAGUUAUAUAGUAUCACUUGGUAUAUGUGAGGAACUCUCUGUCCCUGGAAACAACCAGACCUUGGGGGCCAGUAUUUAGCAUUGCAGUAGGUAGCAACAGAGCAAAUGUCAGCACGAGUCAUAGUGUCACUUCAUAGCCUGAGAACAAUAACGGAGACAGGGAGCAAAAUCUCUUUAAAAAAGGAAACAAUGUACUAGUAGCAGGAAAAUGCAGUUAGAUGUUACUUUAUGUAGAUAACCAGACCUUCACAUUUUCCCCCUCGAGUUUCUAUGGUAGCAUUGUUAUGAGAAGAAGAGGAGACCAUGUGGGAAAAAAGAGCCUCAGUAAUGACAAGAAGUGCAUGCAGAUCCAGCAGGAGGAACACCCAGCAAUGAAUAAACCGAUUCAAAUAAAAAUAAAGAUAGGACAUUUUUGCCACUUUAUUUUUUUCCAUAGCUACUUCAACAAAUUGCCACAAAUGUAGUGGUUUAAUAAAAAUAAAAAUGUUUAGUCUCUUUAAAUGUCUCCCUGUCACAAGUUUGAUGUGGCUUUCACGUCAGACUGCAUUCCUUUGGGAGAUCAAAGACAGAAUAUGUUUCUUACUGUGGGUUGUUGGCAGGAUUCAGUUCCUUGUGGUUAUUUUCUGGUGGUGUUAUCUACUGUGCCCAACUUCUAGGAGUUAGUGCAGAGAGAGGCCCCUUCCUCCAUCUUCAAAGCCAGUAACUGAACUGGUCUGUUUCUUGCUUAUCAUUCUAACUUUGCCUGCCUCUUCUGAGAUCUCUCUCUCUCUCUCCCUCCCUCCCUCCCUCCCUCCCUCCCUCCCUCUCUCUCUCUCUCUCUCUCUCUCUCUCUCUCUCUCUCUCUCUCUCUCUCUCUCCUGCCACUUCUGCUUCCACUCAGAUAUCUCAGAAAGAUCUUUCUGUAUUAAAGUCAACAGCCAGUGCUAUUAGUAACUUUUAUUCCAUUCAUCUAUGUAGUCUUAUAUGCAUCGAAAUUAGGGCAGUGGGUAAAGGUCAUAGCAAUGAAAUUUUGUUCACCUUAUUUAUGCUCACCAAACUUAGUGGUUUCAUAUUCACACAAACUGCAUAUGAAAAAUGGAGAGAUGCCUCAGUGGUUCAAGAGCACUAGCUGCUCUUCCAGAGGACCCAGGUUCAAUUUCCAGCAUGAACAUGACAACUCACAGCUGACUGCGACCCCAGUUCUAGAAGAUCCAACCCCCUAGAAAUAUGUGCAGGCAAGAUAUCAGUUAACAUAAAACAAAAGUAAAUGAAUCAUUUUUAUUUAAAAACAAAAAUGAAAUAUAGUCACCCAAUGCCAAGAUUCCAUGUUUUCCCAGAGCUCACAAGCACUAUACACAAGAACGAUGUAAUCAGUAUUUCAGAAGAACAUGGAACAUGAAUUAAUACAGCAAAACCUAAUAAUCCCCUGAGUAGUUCCGGCAUAUAUAUAUAUAUGCACAUACACACACACACACACACACACACACACACAUAUACACACAUAUAUUGACAUAUAUAUAUACACAUGCACACACACAUACACACACACACACAUAUAUAUAUAUAUAUGGAAGAGACAGGUCCUGUGGAUUCCAUCCUGAAACCCUGACACCCUCCCCAUAUUAUAUAUGUGGAAGAUGGUCUCUAUCUAUUCCAUUCCUGAUACCAUGGUGCCCUUUCCUAUUGAUUCUACAUUCCUUGAUACCUGGAUUCUCUUUUCAUAAGAAGAUAACUCUGGUCAUUGCUAAGUGAAUUGGUAAUAAGUACUAUAACAUUUAGUGAAACGUCCUUAAGUCUAAUAUGACCACAUUGACACUGUUUUUAAGUAACCUAGGGGAUGAUAGAGAGGUGGUCUCCUCUUCCUUAACCCCCGUUUCCUUGGCAAUGUACUCUUUCCUAUAGUUGAUGGUUGAUCUUGUUUUCUCAGGGUAAGGCCUUCCUUCACAGCUUUAUGCUUUUUGCCUAACUUGUCACCAAGAUACAAUUGUCCAUCUCCUCCUGAGUCAGACAACUGCUAUCAGGAUUCUCUUUCCCUCCCAUUUCUGAUACUACCUCUGUGUGGCAGACAUUGUCAACAAGCUCUACAAUCACCUAAGAGACAAAUGUAUGGGCAUCUGUGACUGGGUAUUCUAUAUUGGCUUAACUGAGGUGGGGUGAGAUCUCGAACUGAAUUAAGAAGAAAGAGAACAGAGCAUAACCGUUUGUCUCUCUAUGACCUGUGCUCUCAAUGUAGCCAGGUGCCACUGCCUUCUCUAUGAUGGGCUCUGCCUUGACACUGUGAGCCACAAACUCUGCUAGAGUUGAUUUUCUUAGAGAUUUUGUCCCAGAGAUGUGAAAAGUAACCAGUUCAAGCUCCAUACAGAAAAGCCCCAUUUUCCUGCUUGGUUUUUCCUUUUGGUUGUGCUCCAAUUUCCUACCUGUGUGAUUUUGCUUUAAAGUUUGCUUGAAAUUCUAGGCUGCUUUCAUUUGGAAAUUUAUUGUCUUUUACUCAUAGAUGUAAUUUUCAACAUUUGCCUACAAGAUUUUGUGUAUCUCAUAUGCUUGGAUUUAUGCGGGAGGAGUGUUUGUUUGCUCAAAAAGUUUUUUUGUUUGCUUGAUUGAUUGCUUAAUCAAUCAUAACAGUGUUUUUCUAUCCUGAAGUAGAUAUACCUGAGUAAAUAGCUUAAUAGUUAAGUAAUUAACAAGUAUAUAAAAUUAUAUAAAUUAUAAAAUUAUUAAUUUAUAAUGAUAUAAAAUGUGAUAGUGUUUCUGCAAACAUCUGGCCUUGGAUCACAGUGGAAACUGAAAUACUGUCUCACACAGGACUUUUCCAGUCUAGUUCCCCUUGGGGUCACCUGAGAAACCUCAGAGACUGUAGAUGUAGACAUUGGCACUUAUCAAAAUUUUGUCCUCCAGUUUGAAGUGAGAACCACAGAUCUGAGCCGAGAUCCUGCAUUUAUGUUCAGAAAAGCAAAGGCCCAGAGAGGUCAACACCAAGCAGGAAGUUUGCACUGCUCAGCUUCAGACCUACAAGGUUUUCACCACACCAGUCUUAAGUCCUACCUGAUCAAUCAGAAUCUGUCAUUCCUCACAUGACCCAGGUGAACAUGGAAGCUAUGGUCUGUUGCCAUUUACUUAGUCAGGCUUUUCUUGCCAGAAAAAUAAAACUGAGAUUUCUUUUCCAUUUUUUUUAAGUUUGCUAGUCUUGGAUCUCUUAAAUUAUGAAGGCAAUAGCUGUUGCUUAAGGGCUAGUGCACAAAUGCCUGUUUCUGCUCUAACUGGAGGUCUGCAUGGGGAAGAACGCAAGCUGAAUCGUUUUUAUCACCUUGUACAAAGCUGACCCACAGCAGAACGAUCUGGAGAGAGUGAGAGACUUUGGAACACUCAGUCCUAAAUGAGAUGUCUUCAUCAAACCCCACCCCUCAGCACUCUGGGAGCCGUGCAAAGGAGAAGGGGGAAACUGUAAGAACUGUAAGAGCCAGCGAAGGAAAACUCCAAGGAAAGAGCUGCUUCUGGACACAGCAGGGCUGAUGCACAUGCGAACUCACAGACUGUGACGGAAGGCACGACACGUUCACAGAUUCAAACCAGACUGGGUCCCAGUGCCGAGAGGGGAAGAGAGGCUACGACCUACCUCCCUAAGAGGUGGCUUUCAAUAUGCUUUAUUUGAAGAUAGAUAGAUAGAUAGAUAGAUAGAUAGAUAGAUAGAUAGAUAGAUAGAUAGAUCGAUCGAGAUAUGCUGGGGAAAUUUAUUUCCUGACCCUGAUGUUGUUUAAUUGUUCUGUUUGCAUCCUGUAUCUGUAUGGCUAUGUCUUAGUUUAGGGAAGUUUUUUUUUCCUAUAAUCUUGUUUAUGAUCUGGUCUAUGCCAUUGACCCGGGCUUCUUUUCUCUCACUUAUGCCUAAAAUUCAAAGGUCCCGGCUUUUAAUGGCGUCCAACAUUUCCUGAAGUCCCUUCUUUAUGUUUUUGCUUCACGGUUCUCACAUUCUUUGCUUAUUUCAUCUAGAUCCUCUGUCUUUGAGUCUCGAGUCUCGUCUGCUGGAUUCAUUCUCCUUGCAAGGCUUUCCCUUGCGUUUUCUAGUUGAGCUAUUGGAAUUUUCAAUUCUUUCUUCACUUCGGCUUGAGCUUUUCUCGUCAGCGUUUCCAUCUUCAUAUUGAAUUCUGUUUUCGAAUCACGGAUUGCCCAUGUCAUUUCUAUCAGCCUUGCUUCUGUUUCCUUGGGCAUCACUCAGCCCUUGGUUCUCCUUAGGUUCCCUAUCUUUGAGUUCAGUGAGCUGUUUCUAAGUGUCUUCCCUAAACUCCUUAAGUUAUUUGAUGAAGUGUAUGAUGUUUUUAUUUUUUUGCUUCUUGGGGUUUAUCUGGGUGGUUCUUAAGGGCAAACAUUUCUACAGGACAUGUGGAUCUGUGAGUGUGUGGUGCAGAGGUCCUGCCUACAUCUCUCGUAAUAUUUUUGUUUUUACAAUGACAUCUGGAGAUGUAUAUUAAUCAGUUAGGGUUUUACUGCUGUGAACAGUCACCAUGACUAAGGCAAGUUUUAUAAAGGACAACAUUUAAUUGGGGCUGGGUUACAGGUUCAGAGGUGCAAUCCAGUAUCAUCAAGGCAGGAAUAUGGAAGCAUCCAGGUAGGCGUGGUACAGAAAGAACUGAGAGUUCUACAUCUUCUGCUGAAGGCUGCCAGUAGAAGACUGGCUCCUAGUCAGCUAAGAUGAAGGUGUUAAAGUUCACACCCACACUGACACACAUAUUCCAACAAGGCUACACCUCCAAAUAGUGCCAGUCCCUGGGCCAAGCAUAUUCAAACCAUGACAACAUGUGAAAUUCUUUUAUUAGUUCUGUGUCUGAUAUGGACAGAGAAGAUUGGGGAGGAACACAGGAUAUAUGUGCUGGGUUGGGCCUAAAGGUUGGCUAUAGCUUAAGUGGAAUGAAGUCAACUGGAAGGAAACUGAGCUAAUGUGCAGGAUGGGUAUCCUGGUCUAAUCCUGGAGUUUGGGUAGUUCUGGGGUUCGGGGUGAAUGGAGGCAAUAAUCAGCCAGACUCACCUGGUUAGAUCCUUAGUGUGCAUGAUAUAACUGGGCAGAGGUUAAAUAGGAUAUAAGAGGGGUCUGUAGGUGAGAGCAAACAAAAUGUGUCCUGACUGGAGUCUGAACGUUAAGCCUGCACAAAACAGUGUUGACUAAACUAGGCUGGGAUGCGAGGUGUGGUACUUAGUUUAGGUCUGCAGGAUUAAGGAAGACGUAUGGAAGGAAGGAUUCACAGGGCUCAUUCCUAGUGAAGAAUGUGCAGUAUCUGACUGGGCAGAGAGCUUGGAAUAUGGCUGAGGAGGAUCCUCAAGGGUGGGAGCUGUACUUUACUCAAAAGUAUCCUAGUAGUAGAAUAGAUAGAAGCCUGACUCUAUUCAUCGUUUCCUCCAAAGCAAAGAGCCCUGUCAGGUCAAGAACUGUCACUGGCUGUUAUCAAGGAGCCGAAUGAGGCUAUAAUUCAGCCUAAGAAUUAAAUACGAGAGUAUAAACUAUCCUCAGGGAAUCCUAGAACCUCAGGGUUUUUCUGAGAUAACCAUCUACUGCCAAGGAGCUAAGGAAACCAAGAUCUAGACAUUUGAGGUUCCCAAUGAAGUAUCUGACAACAGACAUUUGGAACCAAGUCCCUUCUUCAUUAGCUGUAUCUACACAAAGGCACCAUGUAAAUUGUAGAGACAUCGCUCCUAGAUCCCUGCUGAGACAGGUUCCAGGCUACCAUUUAAAAAGAGACAUAAAAAUAAGGAAUUAAUAUGAAACUAUACUGGCCCUCUCUGAACGACAAUUGUAAUUAGGGUUUAUGUUGUAAGUUUAGGGAAACUGAAAGUGAAUAUCUUUUAUUUAGAAAAUUGAGGAGACUUGAAUAGGGCUAUAGAUUAUGUACAUUAUCGUGUCAGUUAAUAUUCCUAUUUUUAUAAUUGUGACCAUUAGAGAAUUUGCUUGCAUUUGGCAACUAAACACUGAAGUAAAGUAUUAUGUACAACUUACUGUUAAAUGACUUUUUGAACCGGGGUGGGCGUGGGGUGAGAUUGUUUUGUCUAUAAAGCACAGAAGGAAAGAAGGGAAAAAGGAAGGGAAAAGAAAACGAUAACAAGAUGAGUCAAAAGACUGGCCUGUUUAAAUGGGGUGUAAUUGUGAUGGUUUGUAUAUCCUUGGCCAUGGCAUCCUUGGGAGGUGUGGCCUUGUUGGAGUAGGUGUGUCGCUGUAGGUGUGGGAUUUAAUACCCUUGUUCUGGUUGCCUGGAAGGAGGUCUUCUCCUAGGGAUCUUCAGAUGAAGAUGCAGAACUCUCAGCUCCUCCCGCAUCAGGCCUGCCUGGACGCUGCCAUGCUCCUGCCUUGAUGAUAAUGGACUGAGCCUCUGUGAUGGUUUGCAUGUGCUUGGCCCAGGAAGUGACACUAUUAGAAGGUGUGGCCCUGUUGGGGGAAGUGUGUCACUGUCAGGGUGGGCUUGGAGACCCUCCUCCUAGCUGACUGAAGAUGCUCAGUCUGUUCCUGGCUUCCUUGGGGUAAAGAUGUAGAACUCAGCUCCUACUGUGCCACACCUGCCUGGACGCUGCCAUGCUCCCGCCUUGAUGAUAAUGGACUGAACCUCUGAACCUGUAAGCCAGCCCCAAUUAAAUGUUGUCCUUUAUAAAACUUGUAUUGGUCAUGGUGCCUGUUCACAGCAAUAAAACCCUAACUAAGACAAUCACUGAACCUGUAAGCCAGCCCCAAUUAAAUGUUGUCCUUAUAAGAGUUGCCUUGGUCUUGUGUCUGUUCACAGCAAAAAAACCCUAACACAGUAAUAAACUCUAUUAGUUAUUAAUAUGGCCCAGUCAGCCCCCAAUGAUCAAGGCAGAGUCCUAUGGCUUAUUUAAUCAGCUCUUACACAGUUACUGGGGGAUUAGCCCUAGUCUAUACUUCUGUUGGCUACACUGCAUACUUCCCAACUGUUCUCCCCAAGUACCUGCUGUUUGAAUCUCACAUAGCUUACUUCUGCCUCAGCAGUCUGUCUUGGGGAAUAUUUAUCUUGGGCAUGUGUUCUGGUCUGUCUUGUCUAGUGGAGACCUAUCUCUUUCUCUUCUUCCUCCUUCACUCUCCUUCCUCAUGGUCCCUACCUGUGCUGUCCGCAGCUCAGUAACUGAAAUUCCUCAUCUUCUAUUCUCCCCAGUAAUUGGUUGUAUCCACUUUAACCCAUAACUCCUUGGGGGAACAAGGCUUACAUAGCAUCACUUAUACAACCAGAUCUUGGGGGCCAGUGUUUAGCAUUUGAAUACACAGCAGCAACAGACCAACCCCCACAGAUUUGUGGUUAAAACUGUAGACUAAAGGAGGAAAAUAGUCUUUCUUUCUGUUCUUGGAAUAACUGAGUAACGGUAUCCUCUGUGGACAUAGAGACUGAUAUUUGAGGAAGAGAAGAUGUAGUAUCAACAAGAAUUCUAAUGUGUCCAUACUGUGUGGAGCACCAUGGUUGGGUCAAGCAUGGUGGUACCAACCUGUAAUUCCAGCACACAGCAAGCAGGGGCAAGAGGAAGAAGGGCAGUGUCGACUUCAGCUCAUUCAUAUAAAAAGCCAAGUUUAAAACUGAUGCUUCUGUUAAUAAACACCCUUUUGAUUUCUAAUCACGUGAGUUCAGAGCUGGAGAGAUAACUCAAUGGUUAAGAUCACUUGUCCUUGCAGAUGACACCCUCAUGGUGAUACAUAACCACCAAUAACUCCAAUCCCCGAGAAUCUCACACCAUCUUCUAAACUCCGUGGUGCACAUAUAGAUGUGCCACAACCAUAAACACAACUACAACAAAGCUCAUACACAUAAAAUAAAGCAAAAUCUAAAAAUAAAAAUACAAGUUCUGCUAAAUAGGCUAUGUCUAUCACCACCACUAGUCUGAGAGUUAGUAUGGUCUGAGUGUGAAUGCCCUCCAGUGGGGGAUAUCUGGGGAGGGGUGUAGAAGGUAUGGCCAUCAUUACCAGUAUACGGGGUGUGUGUGUGUGUGUGUGUGUGUGUGUGUGUGUGUGUGUGUGUGUGUCCCUGUGAGACCACGAUGCCUCUGUCGGUAAAGGGUGUGGAGAGAAACCACUCUAGAAAUGGUUUCAGGGAACAGCAUCUGCUUUAUUAUAUAUGAACAAGCACUUACACAGUGCAAACCUAUCAACUGAUUGAUUAGUGCAUUACCUCAGAUUGGACACAGAGCAUUCAUACUCCAGGGUCUCUAUGCCUAAGAAGCACAUUAAAGCAGACGUGGAGAGUGCAGACUUGUCUGCAAGCCAGCUACCAGCUGCUCUACCUCAGAACAGUGUUGUGCCUUCAGCAGCAUGGCGAGCGAGCGGUGCUUCUUAUUUAGAAGCACAGCGUGCCACAUACGCUGGUAAUGCUUGCAUUUUCUCCUACAUGGGCUGGCUGGAGUAAGUGUAUCACUGAAGGUGGGCUCCACUCGAAACAUUUCUAGUUCUCGUUCUCUCUCUCCUCUCUCUCUCUCGCUCGCUCGCUCUCUCUCUCUCUCUCCCUCCCUCCCUCCCUUCCCCCCCAUCUCUGCUUUGUGCUUUCCAAUCUGAGUUCUCAGACUGCUGCUCCAACCACACCGUGCUUGUCUACCAUUGACCCCGUUUUUCCCUCUGAAACUGAAAGUCUCCAUAAACUCUUUCUCCUAUACUUCUGGUCAUUGUAUUUUAUCACAGCAACAGAAAACUAAUACGCUUAGUACAGUUAGGAAACAUCGUAGAAGAGAGAUGAAAAGAUUUAAGAGGUGGAAGUUGGGAGGGGGGGUGCUCUACAACACUCUACUCAGACAUGAUACAGUCCCUGUAGUCAUGAACACAGCAGCUAUAGAUGCCUACACAGGAUUGGGCCUCUCACCUGUCCAUCAUGAAUAAAGGAGGUACACAUGAGUCCCCAUCCCUUUCCGACUGUUAGUUGUUUCCUGGAGGAGGGAUUAUAGUUUUCCUCAGUGAUGUACCCACUGAGGGAUUCUUGGGAAGAAAGAGUGCAGAGAAAAAGGAACAAGAAACCAGAGGGUAAUAGAGAUGAAUCAACCACAAUGCACUGUGUGUGUGUGUGUGUGUGUGUGUGUGUGUGUGUGUGUGUGUCACAAUGCGCUGUGUUUAUACAUACAUAUAUUUGUAUGAGGGAGAGAAAAACUGUGAGAGAUUAAAGAAAAAAUUAAAAACUUCAGUUCAACUAUACCCUCCAAAUGCCGGGUGUUUGUGUGGUUUUGGAAGGAGCAGGGGGUAGAGUCACAGCUGUUUCCUGUGUAGCGCUGGUGAGCGGUAGAUCAGUUCCUUUGAGAUUUUCAGAUGCCUUUGACUGUACAGUAGAGGUCCAGGGACUCUGAAGAGCAGAGAGGACCUUGGGAAUCCUUGGUAAACAUGCCUUUCAAGAGGAAGAGCACCCAUCGUAAAAGGAGCAAGGAACAAGCAAACAGUAGAAAGAUGGGUUGAGUCACAUUUGUUUGGAUUCCAAGGACUCAGGCUGAUUGGAUGCACAUGCUGAGGCAAGACCCAUGCAGAGGCAAGGCACAUGGAGGACCGUGAUGUUGGAGAGUAUAAAUAGGAUGGAGUGAUGGAGACAGAGCUUGGCUUGCUGGUACAGCUAGCUGUGCAACACUUGUGUGUCUCGCAUCUUCACUCAUCUUCACUUAAUCUGAGAGGCAUAGCCAAGAACUUCUCCUGGUGUCCCUCUGGGUCCCUCCUGCUGACUCCAGCCCAGGCUGAGGCCUAGCUGUCUCUGCUAGGUUCUGCCACUGCUGUUGCUAUCUCGACUCUACUGAACUGGACUGCUGGUGUACCUAUGAAAAGUGUAUCCGUGAAGUGUUGGCGAGUGGAUCCAGCUGCUGCUGGCUAACCUGUGAACUACACUGCUGAUUUCCAGACACCACAGAUGGGAGUUGCUCAAAAAAAAAACCUUUCUAAACAGGUCCACUUCCCCCAUAUCCUUUCUUUUCCACUACCUCUGGUGGGUGAUGGGCUACAAGGGAGGUUAAAGCAUUUUCAAAAAAGGUUUGUGUAUUAGUCAGGGUUCUCUAGAGUCACAGAACUUAUGGAUAGUCUCUAUAUAGUGUGAGAAGUUGUUAUGGUGACUUACAGUCUGUAGGCCAACUCCACAACAAUGGUCAGUUGUGAGUGGGAAGUCCAAGGACCUAGUAGUUGCUCAGUCCCACAAGGCUAGUAGAUUCUAACAAGUAGUGCUGGCAAGUAGAUGUGAGUGGUGAAGAAGAGCGAAUCUUCCUCCUUCCAAUGUCCUUAUGUAGAGCUCCAGCAGAAGGUGUGGCCCAGAUUAAAGGUGUAUGCCACCAAGCCUGGAUCUGGGACUUGUUUUGUCCCAGGUUGACCUUAAACUCAAAGAUCCCCUUGCCUUAGUCUCUUGGGAUUCAUAGCCACUUUGCCUCAAGAUCUCCAUGCCAAGAUCCAGGUCAAAAUCUUGUAUCUCCCAGCCUCAAGACCUGGACCCCAGGUGAGCCUUCCAGUUCUGGACUGUAGUUCAUUCAAGAUAUAGUCAAGUUGACAACCAUUACAGUUUGGAAAAAUUAAAAUUAUCCCUAGCCCUUGAAAAACCAUUUCUAUUCUCAAAACACAUGCAGUGGCCAGUAUCUAAUACCAAAGCAAGGCAAUAGUCAAAGACUAAAGAGACUCAUAUACUUCAAUACAUGUAAUUAGCCAAACCAAAAGUAUUCCAAGACAAUAAUACAUGGCACAGAAGAUGAUUGGUAUAUACAAUCCAGAAUAAUCUAUAACUCUCUGCCCCCAAACUAGAAAAUCCACUUUAGUUACAUGUGUCUAUUUGGCUUGUUAAAGUCUAUAAGAUUAAAGAAUAAUAUUUAGUGUAUUGUGAAUGCUAACCUUCUAACUAGAUAAGAUCUAGGUUUUAUGUUUUGGUUCCCAUGCUACAUUUCCACCUGAAAAGUAAGAUAAUCUCAGUAGUCUGAUACCCUCCUCUAAAUAACUUGUGAACUCUACCUCUCUCUAGCCCCAUUCCUGCUCAAGUCUUCUGAGGGUGCAACCCAACCACACAGAGCUGGGCCUUACGUGGGGUAUCCACUCUCUGCUCUUCACUGCUCUACAUGGCCAAGUGGGUAGACCUAGAGCUGGAAGGGUAAAUGGCUGGAGCUGGAAGUCGGUCACAAACUACAACACUGUUUCUUGUCACUUGUGCAAAAUUUGUUUUUGGCUUAGUCCUUCCCACUAGAGAAAGCUCAACCAUGGAUGCGUUAGUGACCACAGUUAUUUCAGAGGCUGGCCUCCACAAGUGAGAAAGCAGAGUUCCUGACCGCACUAAGUUCAUUCAUAGAAACCAGAUAGAACUAGAGUCAUUUAUUUGACAAUCUAGGUUGCGUCUUUUACAUUUUAACUCUGUUUCCUUUUGUUUUCUUCACAUUGACAAUUUCACACAUGUACACAACAAAAUAUGGUCAUAUGAACUCUCUUUACCCAUCCAAUUCCUCCCACACAUCAUGUGUUUCUCCCAACAUCGUGUAUUUUUUCUUAUAAUCCACUUUGUCCAGUUAACGUUGUCCUUACAUGCACGGGUGUGCAGCCAUCCCCUUGACUACGAGAACCCUAGCAGUUGUCAUAUCACUAAUUAAAAAUGAUCUUCCCUCCCCCUGCUACUACCCACUGCCAGUAACGUCUGCUCUUUAAUCAUUCACCAACACCAGCAGCAAAGUCUGCACUUUAAUCCAUGUAAAUCUCACAACUCAGGCAGCAAUUAGAGAGCUGCCCUUGGAUAAGUGAAGCAGCUCGGCAAGCAGAGAUGCAGGGUGUCUCCUGCAGCUUACCUGGAAGUUCAGUUGUUCAGAUGCUAAAGUCAAACAGGUAAACUCUCCCAGGAUGCCUUCAGGAGUCUCACACAAAUCUCAGUCACAGCUAGCAAUUCGAUGGAGAUGUCUCCAACUGGUGGGACCAGAGUACCUCAGAGACCAAGGAAGGAACUACUGCAAAUCUAAUUGAUUGCAUUCAUUGCGUGAACUCAAGCGCCUAGGCAGCUUCGUAUAUAAUAAACAGUGUGAACAUAGGCAGCUUCAUGUAUAAUAAACAGUGCUUGCUACGCUUCACCCAAAAGGGGCGCUCAACGAAAAUCCCUAUCUAGACAAAUACAAGAGAGCCAAGAACGUUCCCAUUCCAAGAGUUACAUCUUUGAACAACUUGUGAUGUCGUUUUUGUUCAUAAAAUAAAGUGUGUAGAAAGUCACACUGUUGGUACUUGGGGAGUAACUUCCCCAUGCAUUAUAAACUUUAAAAUAUAAAUUAAAAUUUAAAAUAUAAUUCACGCUUUA